UACAGAGGUCUCAAGCGUUGUUCGGAUUCAUUGGGCGUAAAGGGCGCGUAGGCUGCGGGGCAAGUCGGGUGUGAAAUCUCAGAGCUCAACUCUGAAACUGCACUCGAUACUGCUUUGCUUGAGGACUGGAGAGGAGAUUGGAAUUCACGGUGUAGCAGUGAAAUGCGUAGAUAUUGGGAGGAACACCAGUGGCGAAGGCGGCUCACUGGACCGGUUCUGACGCUGAGGCGCGAAAGCGUGGGGAGCAAACGGG
rnacentral:rRNA from 1 species